AGAGUUUGAUCAUGGCUCAGAUUGAACGCUGGCGGCAUGCCUAACACAUGCAAGUCGAACGGCAGCACAGAGGAGCUUGCUCCUUGGGUGGCGAGUGGCGGACGGGUGAGUAAUGCAUCGGGAUCUACCCUGACGUGGGGGAUAACCUCGGGAAACCGGGACUAAUACCGCAUACGUCCUACGGGAGAAAGCGGGGGACCUUCGGGCCUCGCGCGGCAGGACGAACCGAUGUGCGAUUAGCUAGUUGGCGGGGUAAUGGCCCACCAAGGCGACGAUCGCUAGCUGGUCUGAGAGGAUGAUCAGCCACACUGGGACUGAGACACGGCCCAGACUCCUACGGGAGGCAGCAGUGGGGAAUAUUGGACAAUGGGCGCAAGCCUGAUCCAGCAAUGCCGCGUGUGUGAAGAAGGCCUUCGGGUUGUAAAGCACUUUUAUCAGGAGCGAAAUACCACGGGUUAAUACCCUAUGGGGCUGACGGUACCUGAGGAAUAAGCACCGGCUAACUUCGUGCCAGCAGCCGCGGUAAUACGAAGGGUGCAAGCGUUAAUCGGAAUUACUGGGCGUAAAGGGUGCGUAGGCGGUUACUUAAGUCUGUCGUGAAAUCCCCGGGCUCAACCUGGGAAUGGCGAUGGAUACUGGGUGGCUAGAGUGUGUCAGAGGAUGGUGGAAUUCCCGGUGUAGCGGUGAAAUGCGUAGAGAUCGGGAGGAACAUCAGUGGCGAAGGCGGCCAUCUGGGACAACACUGACGCUGAAGCACGAAAGCGUGGGGAGCAAACAGGAUUAGAUACCCUGGUAGUCCA
rnacentral:rRNA from 1 species